GGAAGAGUAGCUUAGCGGGAAAGCACUAGACUUUUAAUCUAGGGUCACAGGUUCGAAUCCUGUCUCUUUAU
rnacentral:tRNA from 1 species